rnacentral:rRNA from 1 species
CCUACGGGUGGCAGCAGUGGGGAAUAUUGGGCAAUGGGCGCAAGCCUGACCCAGCAACGCCGCGUGAAGGAAGAAGGCUUUCGGGUUGUAAACUUCUUUUCUCAGGGACGAAGCAAGUGACGGUACCUGAGGAAUAAGCCACGGCUAACUACGUGCCAGCAGCCGCGGUAAUACGUAGGUGGCAAGCGUUAUCCGGAUUUACUGGGGGUAAAGGGCGUGUAGGCGGGAAAGCAAGUCAGAUGUGAAAACCAUGGGCUCAACCUGUGGCCUGCAUUUGAAACUGUUUUUCUUGAGUGCUGGAGAGGAAAUCGGAAUUCCGGGUGUAGCGGUGAAAUGCGUAGAUAUACGGAGGAACACCAGUGGCGAAGGCGGAUUGCUGGACAGUAACUGACGCUGAGGCGCGAAAGCGUGGGGAGCAAACAGGAUUAGAUACCCUUGUAGUC